rnacentral:pre_miRNA from 14 species
UUCUAGACCUUCUCAAGGGUACCCAAAUCUUUGAAGGCUCAAGUUCUGAAAGACCCCCGAAGGGAGCCCCCCACUCAAGUCUCGGGAAAGACGCGCACCCAGUAGGACACAGACACCG